rnacentral:rRNA from 1 species
UACGUAGGGUGCGAGCGUUAAUCGGAAUUACUGGGCGUAAAGGGCGCGUAGGCGGCCUGUUAAGUCGAACGUGAAAUCCCCGGGCUCAGCCCGGGAACUGCGUCCGAUACUGGCAGGCUUGAAUCCGGGAGAGGGAUGCGGAAUUCCAGGUGUAGCGGUGAAAUGCGUAGAUAUCUGGAGGAACACCGGUGGCGAAGGCGGCAUCCUGGACCGGCAUUGACGCUGAGGCGCGAAAGCCAGGGGAGCAAACGGG